CGUAGCCACGGGAAUACAGAGGGUGCGAGCGUUAAUCGGAUUUACUGGGCGUAAAGCGUGCGUAGGCGGCUUCUUAAGUCGGAUGUGAAAUCCCUGAGCUUAACUUAGGAAUUGCAUUCGAUACUGGGAAGCUAGAGUAUGGGAGAGGAUGGUAGAAUUCCAGGUGUAGCGGUGAAAUGCGUAGAGAUCUGGAGGAAUACCGAUGGCGAAGGCAGCCAUCUGGCCUAAUACUGACGCUGAGGUACGAAAGCAUGGGGAGCAAACAGGAUUAGAUACCCGUGUAGUCCCUGUCUCUUAUACA
rnacentral:rRNA from 1 species